ACUCUCAGCUCCCGAGCACCUACUCCUUCAGGACACCAACCCUGGGCCCCUCUAGCCGGCCUUCUAGCCCCUAUUAACCAUCUACUGAACAGAAUGCCUGGGCACCACCCCCGAAUUCUCCCCAACAAGAGAUCAGAGCUACACUCCCAGGCACCCAGGGUCAGCGCCCG